CCCGGCCUAACAUUUCCUUUUGAUUCUUUCUUACAGUUUCCAUCUCUUUGUAAACAUUACCUAUUUGGUGUAAUGUCUGUUUUAUCCCCUAGUGUCCUUAAUAUGUUAAUCAUAGUUAUUUUAAAUUCUAAUAAUUCCAACAUUUAUGUUUUAGCUAAGUCUGUUUCUGAUGAUUUUUUUUUCAUCUCUUCAGACUGUAUUUUGUAAUCUUUAGUUGAAAGCUGGACAUGUAUCUUUAAUAUGUACUGAGGUUAAACAGACCUUUUGUGUGAGAAUGGAGUUUUGUUAAUCUGGCCAGGAAUUGGGCUGUGUGUGAUGUUUGUUAUGGCUACAGGCACCAAAGGCUUGAAAUUCUCCACUGACCUUUCAUUUGCCUCGUUGGCUGUGGGGCUUCCCUUUUUUCUGCUCCUUGCUCCUCUGAGAGAGUCUAUGUCUUGCAGCUCUUUCUGCUAUAACCCACUGUUGUUAUACUGGAGGCGUGUUCAAGUGGUGGUAGGAUGCAAAGGAAGCUUUGUACAAUCUAUAGUCCCAGGGUUUUAGUGGACCUCUGUCUUGGGGUUUGGCCUUCUCGAGUGUUUCUGCUCCUUCCUUUAGAAUAUUGCUCUUCCCAGCUCACCUCCUGCUCCAUUCCUUGACUACAGUAUUCUAAAUCUAUUACCUUGAUGCCCUGUCCCUUGUUGAUUAUUGUUUUCUUUUUCUUUAGGGGAAACGGGAAGGCUGGAACCAUGUCCAGCUGGGAUAAGGCUUCAGUCUCAUCCUGUGAUGAAGAAAUUUUCCCUGUAGAACAGGCCUUUGUUAUGGAGAAAAAUUAGGUGAGGUUACACAAUGCCUACUUUUCCUUUUCUUAUGCCAGAGCCAUGAGGGGGUUUUUCUUGGAUCCUCAGCCUGAAGAACCUGGUAGGGAUCAUGGAGGGAACUUGUAUGAAAGUACAAGGUCUCUCUGUGAUUGUCCUCAUUUUCACAGUAGUCCACACUCAGCCUCCAGCAACUCUCCAGAUAACUAGCAAGGCAAGGAUGAGUAGCUCCUGCCCAAGGGAAGCAGGUUUCAGCUGUAUCUCACUGAAUGUCCCUGUCCCUCUAGAUUUCAAGGUGAUAGUUUGGCCCGAAACCUCAGUUCUUUGAUGGGUCCAAGAAAAGUCAUUGAUUAUCGGGUUGUUCCAUUUUCUCUUGUUGUAAGGACAGGGGUGAUGAACUCCAAGCUCUUUAACAUGUUGGAGCUGAAACUGGAAGUGGAACAACUGGUUUCAUAAUGUUUGGCACAUUUUAUGACUUUGUUUCACUUUUCCUAGAAUUGCAGGUUUCCCAGCAUCAGUUAACUGUCCUAGCAUUUCUUUUCAAAUGAACUACAAUCUGGAAAUAGCGAUGCUUCACAUAUCAACUUAGAAACAUAUUUUUUUCCAAAAAGUAUCAAAGUUGUCAAAAAAAAUUAAGCUGUCUCAACCAUCCUAAGAACUGACAAGAAAAAGAGAAUUUUAAUUUUAUUUCUUAUGGAUCAAAUAUUCUAGAGUAAAUGCUUGAAAGAAUGGUGUUCAGUUAAGAAAAUCAAUUCCAUUGUAGCAUUGUGAAUUCUAGGAGGCAUUGUCAUUCUUUCAACAUUCUACAGGAACAUGAGGCUUCUACUUGACUGAAAUAAGGGUUUGAACUCUGGUUUGGGGUUUUAGUUCUCGUUUCUUUAUUUUAUCCACCUCAUCUCCAACUUUUUCAUCCUAGUUCAUUCUCUUCUGCAGCUUUGUGUUCCAUUUUUAUAUCUUCUUUCAAGUUAUGAAAGAUACCAGUCCUUUGAAAUGUUCCCUUAAGCCUUGCUUAUAGCCUUUUUAGGAGUAUGUUCUUAUUAAGUUUUCCAGAUGCUCUUUCCAUUUCCUUUUGUUACACCGUUUUUGUUUUUCAUAUUCUCUUCAUUGCUUUCUUCAUUUUUGCUGCUAGUUUCUUUACUGAUCUUCAAAGAAGGCAGGAUUUGUUCAGACAGAGAAGCCACUUAUCGCCACAGAGGAUUUUGGAUCCUUUUGGCCCUGCCUUCUGUCUGCCUAUAGAAUGGAAGAACUGUUUCUUCAGAUCUCAACUCUGAAAACAUGUCUGAGGUCAGACUGCCUAGAUCUGAAUGCUAGCUGCGAUAGCAUGUUCUAGGCUGUUGGUUGGGAGUUAUUCACAGCUCCUAGGCCCUCUAAGUCUUUGUAUGUGGACCCAUCUUUCUUCAAGCCAACAACACUUGUUUCUGCUAGGUGCUCAGUUCAGGUAUCACAUUUGUCAAAUGGUAUAAUCAUCUCUUCGCCUGAAGACAAGAGCCUGGGGAACUUCUCAAAUGCCAGCCAGCACUUAGCCAGCAAAACUCCUUGAAGGUAAAGAUGGCCAAAAGGCACACACCA
rnacentral:lncRNA from 1 species